AAAUUGACAGGCAACAAUGGCUAAGCGUAUCUUUACAUAAAUAUCUGCAGUGCCCCCACAUAUCAUCUUGACUAUUGGUGGCGAAGAUCAUGGCCUCUGGACGCCGCAGACCUUUCUUGCAUGCCAGUUCCCAUACUCCUUAGCUCUGUGAUUCUGGGCAAGUGACAUCCUUUCUCAAUUCCAGGUGCCCCACUGAACAUGGUGAGAAUAACACAUGCUUUAGGACAGUAACAGGGGGUGAAGGUAUGGGACUUUGUCGUUUGCCUGAUGUAGAGUAGGUGUUCCAUAAUCAUAAUCAAAAGAGACAAGCACACUUGAGAAAAUUAAAGAUGACCACUAUAUAAAUGAAGAGAUUCGGAGUUCCCGUCGUGGCUCAGUGGUUAAGGAAUCUGACUAGGAGCCAUGAGGUUGUGGGUUUAAUCCCUGGACUUGCUUAGUGGGUUAAGGAUCUGGCGUUGCCGUGAGCUAUGGUGUAGGUUGCAGACUUGGCUCAGAUCCCGUGUUGCUGUGGUUGUGGUGUAGGCCAGCAGCUACAGCUCCAAUUCGAUCCCUAGCCUGGGAACCUCCAUAUGCCAUGGCAGCGGCCCAAGAAAUGGCAAAAAGACAAAAAAUAAAUAAGUAAAUAAAUAAAUGAAGAGAUUCACUAAGUUUAUAGACUAGAAAAUUUAACAUUAAUAUGUCAAAUCUCCCAAGUGCUCUAUAUUCAAUACUGUUUCAAUUGAAAUAGCAACAGGCUUAAGGGAAAAAGAAACACCAAAACUGAUGCUAAAAUUUAUAUGGAACAAUAAACAACCUGGAACAGCCAAAUCAAUUUUUAAAAAAGAAAAUAAAUUAGAGGAUGUGCACUACCUGAUUUCAAGGCUUAUUAAAAAGCGACACUCGUCAGAGUUCCUGUCGGGGAGCAGCAGAAAUGAAUUCGACUAGGAACCAUGAGGUUGCACAAAAAGAUUUGUAUAUCAAUGUACAUAGCAGAUUUAUUCGGAGUAAGUAACCAUCAGCAGAUAAAUGAAAAAACAGAAUGGGAUAUGUCUCCACAAUGGAAGGCUACUCAUCAGUAAGUGUCAGUCAAUUACUGAUAGUGCCAACAGAAUGGGUAUAUCUCAAGACCAUUAUGCCAAGUGAAAGAAGUCAGGAGUUCUCGUCGUGGCUUAGCGGAAAAGAAUAUGACUAGCAUCCAUAAGGACACAGGUUCGACCCCUGGCCUCACUCAGUGGGUUAAAGAUCCAGUGUUGCUGUGAGCUAUGGUGUAGGGUGCAGAUGUGGUUUGGCUCGGAUCCCGUGUUGCUGUGACUGUACAGCUCCGACUGGACCCCUAGCCUGGGAACCUCCAUAUCCCGCAGGUGUAGCCCUAAAAAGACAAAAAAAAUGCACAUGAAUGUGGAGUAACAAAAAGGAGCUCAGUGGUUACCUAGCGCUGAGGAUGCAGGGAGGGAGGGAUGGACCCGAAAAGGGUAGAGUCGCAGAGACCAUCAUCGCACCCAGGAAAAAAUGUUCAACAUCACCAAUUAUUAGGGAAAUGCCAAUUAAAACCUUCACACCAGCAGGAUCACUAUUAUCAAAAACAAAACAAAAGUUGACAGGAUGCAGAGAAACUAGAGCUUUUGUGUGAUUACUGGUGAGAAUGUAAAAUGGUGCAGCUGCUGUGGAAAACAUGAUGGCAGUUCCUCAAAAAACUAAACACAGUAUGAUCCAGCAAUUCCACCCUAGGUAAAUAAAAGAAGUGAAAGCAGAGGCUCAUAUUUUUUAUACCAAUAUGCAUCACGGCAUUAACGACCACAGCCAAAAAGGUGGAGACAACCAAAUAUCAAAACAGGUAAGUGGAUAAACAAACAGCGAUGUAUAUACACACCUACACACACACACACACACACAGGAAUAUUAUUCAGUCAUAAAAAGGAAAGAGGUUCCAAUAGAUGCUUCAACAUAGAAGAAUCUUGAAAACAUGCUAAGUGAGAAAAGCCAGACAUAAAAGGAGAAAUAUCGUAUGAUUCCACUGACAUGAAAUAUCCAGAAUGGGCAAAUUCAUAGAGAAAGAAAGUAGGCUGGAAGUUACCAGAAGCUGGAGGGAGGGACAGAAGGAGGAGUUACUGUUUUAUGGGUACAGAGGUUCUGUUGGGGGCAAUGAAAAUUGUUGCAAACAGUGGUAAUGGUUGUACAAUGUUGCGAAUGUAAUUAAUGCCCCUGAGUUGUAUACUUAAAAAUAGUUUAGGCUGUUCCUGUGGUGGCUCAGUGGUAAUGAAACCAACUAGGAUCCAUGAGGACGUGGGUUCGAUCCCUGGCCUCACUCAAUGGGUUGGGGAUCCAGCAUUGCCGUGAGCUGUAGUGUAGUCCCAGACACAGUUUAUCUGGGGUUGUUGCUGUGGCUGUGGUGUAGGCCGGCAGCUGUAGCUCUGAUUUGACCCCUAGCCCAGGAACUUCCAUAUGCCCCAGUCGCAGGCCCUAAAAAGUCAGAAAAAAAAAAGUUAAAAUGGCAAAUUUCAUAUUGGGCAUAUUUUACUGUAAUAAAAAAAAUUAUAAAGAAAAAAAGUGGCGCAGAAAAUCUUUUUAGAGUAAUGGAGAUGUUCUGUAUCUUGAGUGUGAUUAUGGUUUCAUGGGUACAUAAAACUGUCAAAACUCAUCCAAUUAAAUAGAUUCAUUUAAUUGCAUAAAAUUAUUGCUCAAUAAAGUUGAUAAGGGAAAAAAAGAAACCAACAAAUUAGCGAGAAUAUAAUUGAUUAUGCCUCCGCUCUCUGCCUCCCCUCAUUUCAUUCUGUCAUGAGCUCCCCACCCCCAGCCAUGACACGCAGGAGGAAAAGUAAGAAAAAGUGAGAAAAAAAUCAUUCAUUCAACAAAGAUUUUGGAAGCAUCUAUUUCAUCUGUUAUUCCAGUAACAGGUGUAUGGAUGAGGAACCUAGGUUUGGCAUGGUGAAGUAAUUUAUUUAGGUCACACAGAGUAAAUGGCUGAGCUCAGCUGGCAACCACUGUCUGUGAUGCAAAGUCCUGGCAGAUGUGCACUGCAAAGAUUUUCUCCCUACCUGUGAUCUCACCAGGCCCAUGAGCAUGAGGGGAGAUGGUACACAAGUAGGACCCUCCAUCCAGGAGGGGAAGUGAUAAAAUGCAAAGCCAUCACAACCGUGCAUUAUCAAUGAAAAUCAAAUAUGUGGAACACAGGCACAAGAACUUGUAAAGAGUUCAACACUUUGUCUUUGCCAACAUCUCCUUACUGAAGUCAAUACUGCAUGAUGAAUUUAAGAGCACACGCCAGAGUCACACUUUCCAGGUCCAAAUCCUGGUGCUAUUGAUAGGGAUGGAGUAGACACAGGUAUUUUUAGAAGUCCCAGUAAAGAACCACAGAUAAUGAGGCAAAUGUAGGGGACAUUGGGAGAUCCCUGUAAGUUAAUACAUUGCACAAAAAAGCCAUCAGCACAAGGCAGGCUUGCCUCAGUAGUGGAGCCUUGAGAACUGCCUCAGGUCAUCGGGUGGGGGGUGGGAGGGGGUCUGCAUUCAGAUUCAGACCCAGGGCAGGAGUUUGAGGACCACCCUUCUGCGGAUUUGAAUACACACCUUACCUGAUACUAAGGAGCUACCACUCCCAGAAAGGAAGAGGCGGGCUUUUCCAACCCCCACUCCCCUUGAAUGUUAAAAAUGGUAGCCCACUGGGAUCCUCGAGGCAGAGCUUCUGUGCCAGUCUGCUUGCAUCUCUCCCAAGCGUCCCAUCUUAACAAAUCUAUUUCUUGUCUAUCACUUUGUCUCUCGCUGAAUUCCUUCUGUACGGAGACAUGAAGAACCUGAGCCUCCGUGAGUCCAGACAUAGGGUAAGGGAUUCUAAUUUAAAACCUUGGAUUCAGGUCCCAAUCUGGGUUUAGGCCGGGUUCGAGUCCCAGCAUGUGGGUUCAAGUCCCAAUCUGGGUUCUGGCUGGGUUCAGGCCGUUAAUGCUGUCAGGUUCUCUAUGAGCGGAUGGGAUCCCUUCCUGCUUCAUUUUCCUCCAAGGCAAAGUGGAGACCAUGACAGCAUCUGCCACAAAAGGCCUUUGCAACAAUUAAAUUAAAUAACGGAUGUGACACAUUUUACAUAAUGUUGGGGACAUCAUAACUUGUUAAUAAAUGUUAGCCUUCCUCUUCAUUCAUAAAUUCCACUUGUAAUAUCUAGGUACAGAAAGUAUAGAGUUGGAGUUCCCGUCGUGGCGCAGUGGUUAACGAAACCGACUAGGAACCAUGAGGUUGCGGGUUCGGUCCCUGGCCUUGCUCAGUGGGUUGAUGAUCCGGCAUUGCCGUGAGCUGUGGUGUAGGUGGGAGAGGAGGCUUGGAUCCCACGUUGCUGUGGCUGAGGCGUAGGCCGGUGGCUGCAGCUCUGAUUCAACCACUAGCUUGGGAACCUCCAUAUGCUGUGGGAGUGGCCCAAAGAAAUAGCAAAAAGACCAAAAAAAAAAAAAGAAGAAGAAAGUAUAGAGUUACAUGCAAAAAUGAAAAAGAAAAAUGCAGCUUCUUAGACGGUGGUUUCACUGGUGUUUUGCCUCCUUCUCUUUGAAUGCACUACUGUUCUUCAAAUAAAGUUUUUGCAUUAAAAAUGUAUGAUGGAAACCAUGAAUGAUAGAAACACACCCCAGUCAGGAACCUAAAGGACCACAUUAUCUUAUGAAGGAAUAAAUGAUUCAUUUCUCUUUGGCAGAACUGGGUCCUUUCCCUGUCUUUCUCUUUCUAGGGAAAUAAAAAGUUUAUUCUUUCUCAAAAACUUGGAAGAUUGCUUUUGAUAAGUCAGUAUGAGGAAGCUUGAGGAAGUCUUUUUAUAGCAAAGUGUAACAGCUGGCAAUCUGAAGGGCCAUAUAAAAACAUUCUCUGUUCUCUAGAACUCAAACUGUAGUAGCUCACAAAAGCAAAACCAUUUUAUUGAGGAAACAAUAAAAAAUUGCCGGAAAUUUUCAAACUCAUGCAGUACAGAAAUGGACUUUUAGCGCACUAAAAUUAAUGGAGAGAUAAUGCUUCCUAUUAUUAACAAAGGGGACCACUUGCCUACUCAAAUCCUGCAUUUUCUAAUGGACUUCAAAUUCACUAGCGGUUGAAGUAAAUGAGAAAGGAAACAGGACCUUUGGGUGUGAUGUGAAGUCAGGUGCCAUGCUGCUGCUAGCUUUUCCAAAGCAGCGGAGUCUGGGAUGAUAAAAGACAGUCACUUAGAAAAAUAAAGAAAGAACUAUUCAAAUUAAAAUGAUUAGGCAUCGUCUAAAAUAAAAGGAAAGCUUUUAAAUUAGAAGUGAAUCCCUUGUGCUUAAAAUUGAAUAGAUAUUUGAGCAACUGGAGGUGUUUCAUCUCCUGCUAUGACACUGGAAUUAGGAUCCUUUUUUUUUUUUAACUCAUGUUUUACUAGCAGGUAUGUUGAGCUGACCUGUGUCAUAUUAGAACGUUGCAUCAGUCUCAAGAGCAAGAACUAAAAGCAUUAUCUCUCAGAAGUUAUAAGAAGUAAUUUUUUUUUUUGUUUUUGUUUUUUAGGGCUGCACCUGCAGUAUUUGUAAGUUCCCAGGCUAGGGGUCAAAUUGGAGCUGGGGUCAAAUUGGAGCUUCGGCCACAGCUACAUCAGAUCCAAGCCUUGUCUGUGACCUACACCACAGCUCAUGACAAAAAUCGAAUCCUUAACUCACUGUGAGGCCAGGGACAAAACCCGCAUCCUCAUGGAUACUAGUGGGGCUCAUGACCACUGAGCCAUCAUGGGAAUUUCCUAUAAAAAGUAAUUUUAGACUUGAGGCUGAGGGAUAGAUUUAAGAAAAACAAUUGGUCUUCUCUUUUUAAAAGAUCUUAAAUGUUUAAGAAGCUUAGGGGAAAAGGCAAAUAAGACAAUCAUGCUACGGCAUAGUCAUAUUUCAUUUUCUGAAACUCAAUUAGGAGAACUAAUGAAGAAGAAAUGUGUUUCUUGCUUGUAAAAAGCCUAAUUACCAGCAAUAUUUGUUAGGAAAAAUCCAUUUAUCCUGGAAAGAAGGCGUGUAAGUAUUACCGUGAAAGUUAAAAUAGACAGUGCAGAACACUUACGGGACGAUUUCAAAUUUGGCAGUGCCAACAAAUAGAGCUGCUCCAGACAGUACUGCACUUAUUACUUUAAAAAAUUUUCAUAAAUAACAUG
rnacentral:lncRNA from 1 species